CUAUUUCCUAAAAGACCCCGACUUUCAUUUCUUCUUCUGUUUUUCUUUCCCUCCAAAAGAGAAUCCCUUCCUCCACUUCCAAGAAAUCUCUCAUUUCUCUAUGUAUCUCAGGUUGAUGAUGAGAUUACUAAUAAUAUUACGCUGCUGCUGCUGAUAACCAUGGAAAUCUCAUCACCUGUUUUUCACCUUAACCUUCCUAACACUUCUUCUCCUCAAAGACCUUGAAAGUUAUGGUUUCUAAAAUACAACAGGAAACCGAAUUCUUUUGGUGUUGUGGAACUAGAGUUACUAGACCGUCAAGCCGCCUUGGUAGCAUUACUGAAGAAGGAAGAAGAUGUCAAGAAAGCGGAGAGUAUAAUGCUGUUGGAAGAUGAAGAAUUUAACCAAGCAAAGGUAAAGUUGGAACGCCAACAAGAAGUUGUUGCAGCUCGGUCGACACAGGAAAAAAUUGCAGAGGACUUUAAGCUGGCUGAUAUCAGUCUAGCCUCUCGAGCCAGUCAGAUGGAAGAUCUUAAACUUACAUUCAAGGAGAAGGACCGGCAUGUUGGUUCUGCAAAAUAUGCACUCUCUAUGAAGGAAGAUGAACUCGAUAAGAUGAGAAAUGAGUUAACUCAAAAGACUGAGGAGGUUACAAUGAUGCUUCAGAACUGAACUCCAGGAUUCAGCUCCUAAAUGAGGCUACUGAGGUAAUUAAGAGACAAGGAGUCGAUUAAGAUGAGGGAACUUGAGAAAGGAAGACUGAAACUUGCGGAAGAACAUUUACAAAAGCGGACUGGGGAGUGGGUUUCAGCAAAAGAAGAACUAAAAUACCUGGGGGAAAAUGCACUCAGAAAUUUGGACAAAGCUAAUGAAACUUUUGAAGAUUUCAAGAGAGUGGAGAAGCUUCUUGUAUAUAUGAAAUCCGAGCUAGUUUCUUCUCAAAAGUCUUUGGCAUCUUCCCGGCAGAAAAUGGAAGAGCAGGGGAACCAACUCGAAACCAAUUGGAAGAACUGAAGAAACAUAAGAGUUUUAUGAUAUUUUACUUAAAAAAUUGGAAAACGCACAAGUAGAAGUAGAGAGCGAGCGAGCAGGUAUUAGCCUUGCGAAGGAUCAAAAUAAGGAAGUUAAGGGGACUUGAAUCUGGAUGAGGAGUUGAUAUCACAGUUACAAGAGGAGUUGAUAUCAUAGUUACAAGAGGAGUUUAAUAAUGAGAGAUCUUCUCUUGAAUUGGCAAACCAGGAGAUUGUUUCCAUUCAGACUAAGCUAGAAGAAAACACUUCUGAAUUUGAAGAAAUGCAAAAUCUCCUUCGUGUUAAAGAGUCAGAACUAGUGGAGGUGAGGCUUCAAAUUCAGCAUCUAAAAUCUGAGUGGACUUCCAGUCAACUUAUGUUACAAGAGAGGGAUAUUGAUCUUCCCCACGCAUGGAAAAACUUGAGGAACUAACCAGCAGAGAGAAACAGCUUAUCCAAACCAGCAAGGAGUUACAGGAUAAAGAUAAUGAAGUCGACAUGAUGAAAUCUGAACUCAACGACACAAAGCUGAGGAUAUGUUGCGCUGAUAUGAAAUUGAUGAUAUCUUCCCAGAAGACUCAAAGCUAACAUUACCUCACAUGCAAAUAUUGAUGAUAUCAUCCCGGAAGAGUCUUUCGGAUGCAGAAUAUGAAACUGCCCGACUCUCUGACUUGACAGAACAACUUGUAAAGGAUGCAGGAAUACUUGAUGGUUCUGCAAACUAUGAAGUAAUAUUACAGCUUUUGAUCAGUCUUCUAAAUAUCUGUCCGAUUGUACUUAAAACUUAGGCAGGCAGGUGCAAAGAACUUGCUCUUGUUUCUUUGUUGUUAAUUUUUUUUUUCUUUUUUGUAUUAUAGUUGAACAAUUGGUUUCAAAGUGAGAUUUAUGGUUUUGAAAGACAUCCAUAGAUCUUACUAUUGAGAAACGUCAAAGUGAAAAAGCAAUUAAAACAGAAAUUUGACUGGGAAGGGAGAAACUCCGUAUAAACACUGUAAAAUUAGAUCUAAUGAACAACCCAUAAUCAUUUAUGCAGUAGUAUGUACAAUGUACUUGAUCA